ACACACACUUGUGCCCUGGCUACGCAUGCUAAGUUGUUUCAGUUGUGUCUGACUCUCUGUGGCCCUACGGACUGUAGCUCACCAGGCUCCUCUGUCCGUGGGAUUCUCCAGGACAUGCAUCUUCCUACUCCAGGCCCCAAGACUGUGGUCCUUCCCAGCUGCAUGUCAUCCAAGCCCAGCUGAAGCUUGACUGGUCAAUGACCUUUCCUCAGGAUGUUUGCAUUUGAGAAGAACAGGAAGUCCCAGCAUCUUACUUCUUCCAGGCCACAGUUCCCAGGAGCCCAGUGUUCUGGCAGAUGGUCCUAGAUAAUUUUACGAACUCAAUCAACAAACAUUCACUGGUGCCUGAGCUGGAGCUACAGUGGAGAAAAUGAGGAUACUGCCCCAAGGCCUCACCAAUAACUAGGGAGACAUUCAAAAUAAGAUCAUUGCAAUACUGGAAAUGGGAAUGAGGUACUAUGGGAGGCCAGUCGUCGGAGCUGACAUUUACCCAGGGCUUCCUAUUGUCAGGAGCUCUGCUACGUACUUCCAUUACACUUUAUCACAUUGGAACUUCAUGCUGAUCCUGUGAGAUGCCCAUUUUACAGAUGAACAAAUUGAGACUCAGGGAGGAAAAGCAAUCUGAAAGGUCCCACAGCUCAUGAGUGCUUGAGCCAGAUUUACCAGACUCAAAUCUGCCUGAGAAGUCAGGGAGGCUUCACAGAGGAGGCAGGUUUUUGGGGGCUUCUCUGGGUCUUUGUUGCUGCUGCUGCUAAGCCGCUUCAGUCGUGUCCGGCUCUGUGGGACCCCAUAGACGGCAGCCCACCAGGCUCCCCCAUCCCUGGGAUUCUCCAGACCCCAAGCUGGACCGAUGGGUACAGUCAGAGAUAAUCAAGAUAACGCCCCCACCUUCGGAUGAUGGAGCUGAUAAUGAUGACGACGAAGACGACGACAAAAGCACCUGCUCUGCGUCACGUGCUGUGCCACGCUCUUCAUUAUGCUCUACUCUGCACUAUCUCAUUUCACCUGACAACAGCUUUUGGAGGCUGAUCCCCUGGAGCGCAGAGGCUCUCUGAGUUCACUUUCCUGCCUGGGC
ensembl:lncRNA